AGAGUUUGAUUAUGGCUCAGAACGAACGCUGGCGGCAGGCUUAACACAUGCAAGUCGAACGCCCCGCAAGGGGAGUGGCAGACGGGUGAGUAACGCGUGGGAACGUACCUUUCAGUUCGGAAUAACUCAGGGAAACUUGUGCUAAUACCGGAUACGCCCGCAAGGGGAAAGAUUUAUCGCUGAAAGAUCGGCCCGCGUUGGAUUAGCUAGUUGGUGGGGUAAAGGCCUACCAAGGCGACGAUCCAUAGCUGGUCUGAGAGGAUGAUCAGCCACACUGGGACUGAGACACGGCCCAGACUCCUACGGGAGGCAGCAGUGGGGAAUAUUGGACAAUGGGCGCAAGCCUGAUCCAGCCAUGCCGCGUGUGUGAUGAAGGCCUUAGGGUUGUAAAGCACUUUCACCGAUGAAGAUAAUGACGGUAGUCGGAGAAGAAGCCCCGGCUAACUUCGUGCCAGCCGCCGCGGUAA
rnacentral:rRNA from 1 species